ACCUUGUUUACAUUCAUUAUCUUGUUCAUUAAAAAAUAAAUAUUUCCACAGUGAAAUCAAAUGUAAAAUAAUAUUUUUGUAAUGAUUAGGGAUCUCAAAUUUUGAGCUUUGCAUACCUGUUUUAGAGAAAAAACCGUCUGGUCUGGAUUUGGAAGGGCUGCAAUUUUCAAACCACUAUUAAUUCAGAGUUGCCCAGCCCUCUCUGUGAGCUAUGGUAUGUGUCAGAUAACAAGGGAGUUAUGAUGUUUGCUAAAUCUGUUUUUGCUCUUUUGAUCAAUCUAACAUAAAAAUUGUAAAGAAUAUACUGAAUUCAAAGUAGCUUUGUAUCCUGGAAAGUUUGAGUUGCUCAAUACAAAGAGUUCAAUUAUUAUUACAUAAGAGAACUAAAAAUAAUUUAAAAGAUAGCCCAAAGGCCAGGAAUAACUCCUUAAGAUAGUUUUGUUAUUUGUUUCUUUUUCUUUUCUUUUCUUUUCUUUUCUUUUCUUUUCUUUUCUUUUCUUUUCUUUUCUUUCCUUUCCUUUCCUUUCCUUUCCUUUCCUUUCCUUUUCUUUUCUUUUCUUUUCUUUUCUUUUCUUUCAUUUUAUUUAUUUUUGCCAAAUGUUAGGAGUAAUUGGUGAUUUUGGCCUUUAGCCUAGUCCUUCAUUCCUGAAAAGUGUCAGUUUAUUCUAAAGUUUCAUCACUGAAUUGAAUACUUAGAUAUAUGGUAGUAUCUAUGUUAGCAUAUAAGUAGUUUUGAAACCCAGAGUAAUCCUUGAGAAAAAGCUUCCACAGGGAAUGAAACAUGUGAAUGAGAACUUGAGAGUGACCCGUUAGGUAGAUUGAGAUAGGUCAGGUUCUGCAUGGUCGGGGCAAUUGCCUAGUCCUGUAGUUUCGAUUUUAGCCAUUUAAGUUCUAAAUGCUUUUCUUUUGAGGACCGGUUCAUAAUCUAUUAGAUACAUACAUUUCAGAGUUUUUAAACCAUAUUCAGCCUCAUUUCUUCUAUUAAUUUAUUUUCCCUUUCUAGUUUUUGUGUAGUUGCCCUUCCUUGUAUCAUCGAAAGAAAAUUUACAGGGGAAUAUAUGCUAUGGGAAAUGAGUUUCCAUAAGGUCUAUCUCUUGGGUUCUACAAACUUUACCUUUGAUGACCUUAUGCUUUACUUAGAUAAGAUGAUGGCAAAAGGGAUAGAUUUACUACUUUCCCUGAGGUAAAUCUUGAACUAUAGGUGUUCAUAGAUUGUAGAUGGGAGUCUCUUCAUGUCUCCCUCCCUGUUCUCAGUUUACUAAUUGGCCCAUUAUGGAUUUCUAGGCCUAGCGCAGCAUAUUCUCAACCUUCCUCAUGCUGUAACUCUUUAGAACAGUUCCUCCUGCUGUAGUGACUCCCAGCUAUAUCAUCAUCUUUGUUGUUACUUUAUAACUCGUUUUGCUACUGUUAUGAAUCUGUGUUCUCUGACGGUCUUAGGCAGCCUCUGUGAAAGGGUCAUUCAACCCCCAAACGGCACAACCCUCAGGUUAAGAACAGAUCUAAUAUACUGGAUCUCCAUAUCCUCCAUUCGCUAAAAUUUGUUUAGACUCCAAACCCUUCUCACAAACUACCCAGCUGUGGGUAGAGAAAUGGCACUAUAAUAUUAUAUGUACCAAGCUUACUAGAAGAAUGAAUGAUUAUUUCUGAUAACAAAUGUAGAUUGUUCCAUUUCUUAAUUU
rnacentral:lncRNA from 1 species